UGCUAACGCAAUGUGAUUUC
rnacentral:snRNA from 1 species